rnacentral:rRNA from 1 species
UUUGGGGCAACUCAAAGUCAGUGGCAAACGGGUGAGUAAUGUAGAAGAAUCUACCUAGCAGUAAGGAAUAACCUUGAGAAAUCAAGGCUAAUACCAUAUAUUACCGGUUCGCCGGGAAAGAUUUAUCGCUGUUAGAUGAGCUUCUAUCAGAUUAGCUAGUUGGUAGGGUAAUGGCCUACCAAGGCGAUGAUCUGUAGCUGGUCUGAGAGGAUGAUCAGCCACACUGGAACUGAGACACGGUCCAGACUCC